ACCAUUGGACUGAGCACAGGAAUCCCAAUGGAGGAGUUAGAGAAAGGACUAAAGGAGCUGAAGAGGUUUGCAGUCCCAUAGGAAGAACAACAACAUUAACCAACCAGACCCCCCCCCAGAGCUCCCAGGAAAUAAAUCACCAAAGAGUACACAUGGAGCAACCCAUAUCUCCAGCCGCAUAUGUAACCAAUGAUGGCCUUGUUGGGCAUCAAUGGGAGGAGAGGCCCUUGGUGCUAUGAAGGUUCAAUGCCCCAGAGUAGGAUAAUGUCAGGGCAGGGAGACAGGAUGGAGUGGGUGGGGGGUACCUUCAUAGAAACAGCGGGAGGGAAUUUAGGAUAGGGAGGGGAAACCCAGAAAGGGGAUAACAUUUGAAAUGUAAAUAAUAAUAAAAAUAAAAAUCCAAGAAAAAAGAAAAAAAGAAAAGAAAAAAAGUGUUGAGAAUGAGCUCCAUCUCAUGGAGCAGACAUUAAUCAGGAAGUUGGUGGUUACUCCCAAAACAUUCAUGUUACCAUGACAAAUUGACAUAUCCUGACGGACCAGUCAUUAUCAUAGCAUGCAUAGUUUAAAGAUUGUGAGAUCUUUGAAAGUUUCAUUUCCUCAAUAGUGUACCACAGCUUCUUAAUACUUUGGGGUCUAGAUAUGGACAACAGUGGCAGUAGAUAACGUUUUGUCAUCUUUCUCACAAUGGGGUCUGGAAUAUAAGAAGAGGAAGCACUCAGAUAUACUCUUGCCCUUUGUUUAAUCUAGACAAAGCCCCACAUUAGCGA
rnacentral:lncRNA from 1 species